UACCUAGGGGGCAAGCGUUGUCCGGAUUUAUUGGGCGUAAAGAGCGUGUAGGCGGCCAGACAGGUCUGCUGUGAAAACUCGAGGCUCAACCUCGAGACGCCGGUGGAAACCGUCUGGCUAGAGUCCGGAAGAGGAGAGUGGAAUUCCUGGUGUAGCGGUGAAAUGCGCAGAUAUCAGGAGGAACACCAACGGCGAAGGCAGCACUCUGGGCCGGUACUGACGCUGAGGAGCGAAAGCGUGGGGAGCAAACAGG
rnacentral:rRNA from 1 species